rnacentral:rRNA from 1 species
CUCUUGCUUCACAUAAGAGGUCCAGCCUGCCCAGUGAAAUUUUAACGGCCGCGGUACCCUGACCGUGCGAAGGUAGCAUAAUCACUCGUUCUCUAAAUAGGGACUUGUAUCAAUGGCAUCACGAGGGUCAUACUGUCUCCUCUCUCCAAUCAGUGAACCUAAUCUCCCCGUGAAGAAGCGGGGUUGCACCCAUAAGACGAGAAGACCCCAUGGAGCUUUAAACCUUAAAGCAAUUUAAAUAAAAUAUUUCCACAUAUACUUUAGAUAUGCAUGAAGGUUUUGGGUUGGGGUGACCGCGGAGUAAAAACAAACCUCCACAACGAAAAGAACUAAAUCUUUAUCUAAGAACUACUAUUCUAAGAAUCAACACACUGACGAAUACUGAUCCGACAAUCGAUCAAUGAACCAAGUUACCCUGGGGAUAACAGCGCAAUCUACUUCGAGAGCUCAUAUCGACAAGUAGGCUUACGACCUCGAUGUUGGAUCAGGGUAUCCCAGUGGUGCAGCCGCUACUAAUGGUUCGUUUGUUCAACGAUUAAACCCC